rnacentral:rRNA from 1 species
UACGAGGGGGGCGAGCGUUGUUCGGAAUUAUUGGGCGUAAAGGGUGCGUAGGCGGUUCCGCAAGUCCUGUGUGAAAUCUUCGGGCUCAACUCGAAGUCUGCACGGGAAACUGCGGGGCUUGAGUGUGGGAGAGGUGAGUGGAAUUCCUGGUGUAGCGGUGAAAUGCGCAGAUAUCGGGAGGAACACCAGUGGCGAAGGCGGCACUCUGGGCCGUGACUGACGCUGAGGAGCGAAAGCGUGGGUAGCAAACAGG